AGUGAACGCUGGCGGUAGGCCUGACACAUGCAAGUCGAACGGCAGCACAGUAUGAGCUUGCUCUUACGGGUGGCGAGUGGCGGACGGGUGAGGAAUACAUCGGAAUCUACUUUUUCGUGGGGGAUAACGUAGGGAAACUUACGCUAAUACCGCAUACGACCUACGGGUGAAAGCAGGGGAUCUUCGGACCUUGCGCGAUUGAAUGAGCCGAUGUCGGAUUAGCUAGUUGGCGGGGUAAAGGCCCACCAAGGCGACGAUCCGUAGCUGGUCUGAGAGGAUGAUCAGCCACACUGGAACUGAGACACGGUCCAGACUCCUACGGGAGGCAGCAGUGGGGAAUAUUGGACAAUGGGCGCAAGCCUGAUCCAGCCAUACCGCGUGGGUGAAGAAGGCCUUCGGGUUGUAAAGCCCUUUUGUUGGGAAAGAAGAGCAGCAGGUUAAUACCCCGCUGUUCUGACGGUACCCAAAGAAUAAGCACCGGCUAACUUCGUG
rnacentral:rRNA from 1 species